UCGGGAAUUUUGGGCAAUGGGGGAAACCCUGACCCAGCAACGCCGCGUGAAGGAUGAAGUAUUUCGGUAUGUAAACUUCGAAAGAAUAGGAAGAAUAAAUGACGGUACUAUUUAUAAGGUCCGGCUAACUACGUGCCAGCAGCCGCGGUAAUACGUAGGGACCAAGCGUUGUUCGGAUUUACUGGGCGUAAAGGGCGCGUAGGCGGCUUUGUAAGUCACUUGUGAAAUCUCCGGGCUUAACUCGGAACGGCCAAGUGAUACUGCAAAGCUAGAGUGCAGAAGGGGCAAUCGGAAUUCUUGGUGUAGCGGUGAAAUGCGUAGAUAUCAAGAGGAACACCUGAGGUGAAGACGGGUUGCUGGGCUGACACUGACGCUGAGGCGCGAAAGCCAGGGGAGCAAACGGGAUUAGAUACCCCAGUAGUCCCUGAGCGGGCUGGCAAGGCGCAU
rnacentral:rRNA from 1 species